rnacentral:rRNA from 1 species
GAUGAACGCUGGCGGCGUGCUUAAUACAUGCAAGUCGAGCGAACGGACGAUAAGCUUGCUUCUCGCAUGUUAGCGGCGGACGGGUGAGUAACACGUGGAUAACCUACCUAUAAUACUGGGAUAACUUCGGGAAUCCGUAGCUAAUCCCCGAUAAUCUUUUGAACCGCAUGGUUCAAAGGUGAAUGACGGUGUUGCUGUCACUUAUCGAUGCAUCCGCGCUGUAUGAGCUAGUUGUUAAGGUACCGGCGUACCAAGGCAACGAUGCAUAGCCGACCGGAGAGGGGGAUCGGCGGCACUGGAACUGAGACGGGGUCCAGACUCGUACGAGAGGCCGCAGUAGGGUAUCUUCGGCAAUGGGCGAAAGCCUGGCGGAGCAACGCCGCGUGAGUGAUGAAGGUCUUCGGAUCGUAAUACUCUGUUAUUAGGGAAGAACAUAUGUGUAAGUAACUGUGCAGAUCUUGACGGUACCUAAUCAGAAAGCCACGGCUAACUACGUG